rnacentral:rRNA from 1 species
CAGUCGCCACGGUAAUACGUAGGGUGCAAGCGUUAAUCGGAAUUACUGGGCGUAAAGCGUGCGCAGGCGGUUAUAUAAGACAGAUGUGAAAUCCCCGGGCUCAACCUGGGAACUGCAUUUGUGACUGUAUAGCUAGAGUACGGCAGAGGGGGGUGGAAUUCCGCGUGUAGCAGUGAAAUGCGUAGAUAUGCGGAGGAACACCGAUGGCGAAGGCAGCCCCCUGGGCCAAUACUGACGCUCAUGCACGAAAGCGUGGGGAGCAAACAGGAUUAGAUACCCCAGUAGUCCCUGUCUCUUAUAC